UACGGGGGGGGCAAGCGUUGUUCGGAAUCACUGGGCUUAAAGGGCGCGUAGGUGGCGCUCCAAGUCUGUGGUGAAAGCUCGACGCUCAACGUCGAGUCGGCCAUAGAGACUGGAGGGCUCGAGCACUGUAGGGGCAGAUGGAAUUCCGGGUGUAGCGGUGGAAUGCGUAGAGAUCCGGAAGAACACCGGUGGCGAAGGCGGUCUGCUGGGCAGUUGCUGACACUGAGGCGCGACAGCGUGGGGAGCAAACAGG
rnacentral:rRNA from 1 species